GUAAUAGAAGUACAUUUAAGUUAAGUUUAAAAUAUAUUCUGACUACUUCAAGAAGUAAACGUGUUUUCUAAAUAAUGUGAAAAAGUACAAUUAAAUUACACUAAAUAUACUUUAAAUUGUUCCAUUUUAACACAACUAAAUAUAUUAAAAUAUAUUGCAACUAGCUUAAAGUUCAUCUUAAAAAUAUCUUAAAGAGCAAUUAACAUGCUUAAAAUUGUUCCAAAAUAACACAUUUAUUAUGCACUUAUUAUAGUAUGAUAAAAAAUAUAAUAAGUGCAUCUAUAUUAGUGUCAGGAUCAUGGACCUGUUUUGUCAUGUUUUUUGUUGUUGUUGUUGUUGUUGUUGUGUUUGUCUAUUUUCCUUUAUUUGGUCAUGUUCCUGUCCUCGUUUAGUUUAAUUAGUCAUUCAGUGCACCUGUGUUCCUCCCAAUUACCUUGUUAUGCCAUGUAUUUAAGUUCCUGUCUAUGUAUUCCUCCUCUGGUGGGUCUACAAGUUGUGUUUGUGUGUCAUUCUUCCUUCCUGGUGUGAAUUUACCCAAUAUUGUGGAUUUAUUAAAGACUGUUUUGCUUACUUAUGUCUCCAUCUUUCCUUCUGGCAGCGUAUCGUGACAGAAGACCUGACUAAUGACCCGACCAACACAGAUACCUCCGUGUGUUCCCUCCGUUUUUGUUCCCAUUUUUGCUCAGUGUUUCAUUUCCGUAGUGUUCCCUUCAUGGAUGUUAUCCUUCGUUGUGUUCCUGGCUCUCGCCAACCCCUCAAGCUCCACCAUGGCUUCUAGCUCCCUCCUCUACGCCGUGGCCCGGCGGUCCAUUAGGUCCGCCGGGCUCCCUCGUCCCUUUUGGAUCCACGCCUCCGCAUCAGUCGCCGGCGCCAUCUGCUCCACCUUGGUCCUCCGGUUCCUCCCCGUCAACCGUGCUCAUCGGCUAUUUGUCUAUGCCUCGGGCUUCUCCGCCACCUGCACCGCCGCAGUUGGUCUGCCCCCUGGAGUCGUCGGCCCUUCCUCCUCCAUGGCUCCUCCUUCCAUCGGCUCUAUAACUUCAGGGCAGAGGAUGUUUGUUCCAGUAUAUUCAUGAUGUAGAUCUUUUGGGUUUGGUGAGCUUAAUAAUGUGAGAAACCCAACCAGUUCUGUCAUAACUUAAUUGUUAUUCAAACAGUUUUUGCCAAAACGAAGAUAAUUUUAAAUCCAUUUAAAUUUAAGCCAAUCAUUUUGAGAGUUGUCUCCAAGUCUCUUGUGCUUGACUCAAUUUGUAAUAACUUGCCUAACUUCACAUGCUUUUGGGGGGAUGCAUAUCACAUCAAAUCUUGACAUUAUUAAACUGAAAAUGAUAAUAUGCAGUUCUUAGCUCUUUCAUCUGAGUGAUGAAGUGUGGUUGUAGGGUUCUGUGACUUACACAUAUGGAGGGAAGGCAAUGUACCAAACUCAAUUCAUAGCUCUGACAAUGUUUUUCAGACAUGUCACCUCAAGCUCUUUGGGAAGAGAUAUAAAUGAUAAUUGAUUUCAAUGAAGGUGGCUCAUAUUCCAUCUUUGGUGCUGAAGAGGCGGCUUGUAAAACCACAGCAGUGAGAAACUCAUCUGCUUCUUUAACAAGCUGUGCAAGUCCUUCCAUAAGAUUCACUGAUGAAGGGAGUGUACCAAAUACAAGUGAGCUGCCUUUGAAGAGAGCAUUUAAAACAACCCAUUUUACCGCACACAGCCACUACACACAGCCACUUAAAUAUGAGGUUUGAUUUGUUGCAUACUUCCUUAGAUAUGUACUUAUUUAUUAUAAAUAUAAUUAUACAUUUUCCAAAACAAAAAUAGGCCCUUAAGCAUUUACCAUUUUGGCCAGUAGCCCAUUGCUUUCAAAAAGAGCAUCAAUAGUUUAAUGAUCAUGAAGCUCAUUUAUAAUUUAUAUUUAUAUAUUAAGAAUAUAUUGCUAUACAUUUUUAUUCUUU
ensembl:lncRNA